AUUGAACGCUGGCGGCAGGCCUAACACAUGCAAGUCGAGCGGAUGAAGGGAGCUUGCUCCUGGAUUCAGCGGCGGACGGGUGAGUAAUGCCUAGGAAUCUGCCUGGUAGUGGGGGAUAACGUCCGGAAACGGGCGCUAAUACCGCAUACGUCCUGAGGGAGAAAGUGGGGGAUCUUCGGACCUCACGCUAUCAGAUGAGCCUAGGUCGGAUUAGCUAGUUGGUGGGGUAAAGGCCUACCAAGGCGACGAUCCGUAACUGGUCUGAGAGGAUGAUCAGUCACACUGGAACGGAGAAACGGUCCGGACUCCUACGGGAGGCAGAGGUGGGGAAUAUUGGACAAGGGGCGAAAGCCUGAUCCAGAAAUGCCGCGUGUGUGAAGAAGGUCUUCGGAUUGUAAAGCACGUUGAGUUGGGAGGAAGGGCAGUAAGUUAAUACCUUGCUGUUUUGACGUUACCAACAGAAUAAGCACCGGCUAACUUCGUG
rnacentral:rRNA from 1 species